rnacentral:lncRNA from 1 species
GAUUACCCUUGCGGGUUCUCCACCGAGACGCUCAUUUUUGCCUAAGCCGCCCUUUCGGGUUUUCAACUUAGCGAGCUAUUCUGUUUUUUUUCAUUUCAUUUUUUUUCAUUUGCAUAUACUUUUUUUUAUUAGGCAAAGUAUCUCUUAACUGCAUCUGAAUUCACAGGACGAGUGAAAUCCUCCCCAUCCAUUGUUGUAAGCAUCAAAGCUCCGCCUGAAAAGGCUCUCUUAACAACAUAUGGACCCUCGUAGUUUGGAGUCCACUUGCCCCUGGAAUCGGGCGCGAAAGACAAAACUUUCUUGAGCACAAGGUCACCUUCUCGGAACACACGAGGCUUGACCUUCUU